rnacentral:rRNA from 1 species
GACAGAGGGUGCAAGCGUUGUUCGGAAUCAUUGGGCGUAAAGCGCGCGUAGGCGGCUUGGUAAGUCGAAUGUGAAAGCCCUGGGCUCAACCCAGGACGUGCAUUCGAAACUGCCCAGCUUGAGUCCUGGAGAGGGCGGUGGAAUUCCCAGUGUAGAGGUGAAAUUCGUAGAUAUUGGGAGGAACACCAGUGGCGAAGGCGACCGCCUGGACAGAGACUGACGCUGAGGCGCGAAAGCGUGGGUAGCAAACAGG